GGUCUUGUGAUGUAAUGGGAACAUGCAGUACUAACGCGCCUGUAAUCCGAGUUCGAUCCUCGGCGAGACCU